AGCUAGUUGACGAGUCCCAAAUAGGACGAAAUGCGCGUUAUCCGGGAU
rnacentral:hammerhead_ribozyme from 1 species